rnacentral:tRNA from 1 species
GCCUUCUUGGCUCAGUUGGUUAGAGCGUCAGUCUCAUAAUCUGAAGGUCGGCGGUUCGAACCCGCCAGAGGGCA